rnacentral:rRNA from 1 species
GCUCAACUGGGAGAGCUCGUUCAAAAACUCUGGUACUUGAGGUUGAUAGAGGAGAAUGGAAUUCCCGGUGUACUGCCGGAAUGCGUAGACAUCGGGAGGAACACCAGUGGCGAAGNCGGCUCUCUAGGUCACACCUGACGCUGAGGUGCGAAAGCGUGGGGAGCGAACGGGAUUAGAUACCCCGGUAGUCCACGCUGUAAACGAUGGAUACUAGCUCUGGGAGAUUAUUUACCCCUUCUGUGCCGUAGCUAACGCGUUAAGUAUCCCGCCUGGGGACUACGGCCGCAAGGUUAAACUCAAAGGAAUUGACGGGGGCCCGCACAAGCAUCGGAGCGUGUGGUUUAAUUCGAUGAUACGCGAAGAACCUUACCUGGGCUUGACAUGGUGGUAGUAGUGAAGCGAAAGCGGAACGACCCUUCGGGGAUCCAUCACAGGUGCAGCAUGGCAGUCGUCAGCUCGUGUCGUGAGAUGUUGGGUUAAGUCCCGCAACGAGCGCAACCCUCGUCGCUAGUUAUAUGUGUCUAGUGAGACUGCCGGUAUCAAACCGGAGGAAGGUGGGGAUGACGUCAAGUCAGCAUGGUCUUUAUGUCCAGGGCUACACACACGCUACAAUGGCCGGUACAAUGGGUUGCCAUACCGCGAGGUGGAGUUAAUCCUCAAAGCCGGUCUCAGUUCGGAUUGCAGUCUGCAACUGGACAUGCAUGAAGGUGGAGUUGCUAGUACCCGCGCGUCAGCAAUAGUGCGCUGAAUGCGUUCCCGGGCAUUGUACACACCGCCCGUCACAUCAUGGGAGUCGGCAACACCUGAAGUCGGUGACC